UUAGACUUUAUAAAAUCUUACUGUGCCUUUUUUGAGCUUCUGAAUGUUUUAAUUAUUAUUUUUAAGUGAGAUUUAAACUUCUCCAGCUUUUCUUGUUGGACUUCUGUGAACUGUGCGUCGUAAACCAAUGAAGGAGCAUGAAGAAAUGAAACCAUAUGAACAGAAAGUAACUGAUUUCACUGUUUGCAUCUCAUCUCAGAAACAAGGAAAGUCAUAUUCUGGUUUAGCUCUUUUCUGCAGGGCGUGAAGAUAGUAUUGAGUCCUCUAAACUUGUUAAAGAGAUUUAGCACAAAUGAGAAAUGUAAUCAGGGGAAACAAUCUGCUGUAUACAGUACCUUCAUGAAAAGACUGAAACCAAAUGCUCCUCUUGGAGUUCUUUCCUUCAGUAAAGUAAAGAAUGGUACAGUGCAAACUGCAGGGGACAAAAGCAAAGCCAGAAACCUAACUCUUGACCUUGCCACCAUGGGUGACCCUAUCAGAGGCACAAAACUCCAGAUGGAAAUGCUGUUGAGGUCAUUGGUUGCAAUCCUUGGGAUCUGGUUGAGUGUUCUGGCUCAAGCAAACACCACCAGCAUUGAAGCCAUGUUUUUGCAGCACCAUCUCUGCUGGACAGGACGUGUCAUAAAGAUGCCUGGCAACCAGUUCCCAAAACAGAUGCUAUACUUCCAACUCACUGGUCACCAGUCUAGUGGUGGGCAAAAGAAGAGAUUCAAGGGCACCUUGAAGGCCAGUCUGAAGAAAUGUGAUAUUGACUUCAAUACCUGGGACACUCAUGGCACCAUUAUCUACAACAAGGCACUGAUCGUUGCGAGGAAACUCGCUUCUCUGUGGAGUUAGAAGGCUAGAGAGGAAAAGGAAAAGAGCUGUGACAUGACAUUGCCAGGAACUACUCCUUUCUACCAGAACUGUCUGCCACAGCUGCAGUCAAACAUGAGAAUCUUAGAUUCACCUCCUCAGUCAUCUGCGGGCUCACAAAUGACUUUUCUGCAUGCUGGAAGGCUGUUUUCCUUGUAUCAAGGGGCUGAUGACAACUAGCUUUGUUUUAGCAGAGUGCAUAAAAAAUACACAACCUUCUAACCAUGAUCUGCAACGAACCUUUCAGGGAUGGGGAAGGGAAGGGCCAUUUCUGCUUUUGCUGUUGCUUUGGUUGAAUAAAGGAGACCAGGGGGGGAUUUAGUCUUUUCUU
rnacentral:lncRNA from 1 species